CCUACGGGAGGCAGCAGUGGGGAAUAUUGGACAAUGGGGGGAACCCUGAUCCAGCAAUGCUGCGUGUGUGAAGAAGGCCUGAGGGUUGUAAAGCACUUUCAGUGGGGAGGAGGAAUGGUAGGUUAAGAGCUAACUAUUUGGACGUUACCCACAGAAGAAGCACCGGCUAACUCCGUGCCAGCAGCCGCGGUAAU
rnacentral:rRNA from 1 species